rnacentral:lncRNA from 1 species
UGAUUAUAGCCAACUGAACAAACUUAGGACUUUUGACCACAUUCUAGAUAUCUCCUUCUGGGAGUUCCCGCCAUGGUGCAGCAGCAAGAUUCCCUGGGUCCUGGGCGUAUAAACACCUCCUGAACAGCCACAGCCGGCCUCCCAAGAUGAUUCCAGGAAACACAACGCUGACUCUUCAAGAAAAGAAAUUCCUUGCCAAGGUAUGCCAGCCCAUUGCAGAGGGGGUGAAGUUUGUUUGAAUAAAGCCCAGUUUCUCCUGGGUUUCCACCAUCUGUCUGUACCCCAGGAACUCCGCCUCCGUGGACACCUGGAUGUUUUGGACGUGGGGGCCACAUCUGUGGCAAUGCCAACAAUGCCAGAUCCGAGUCCUCGUUGA